rnacentral:rRNA from 1 species
AUUGAACGCUGGCGGCAUGCUUUACACAUGCAAGUCGAACGGUAACAGGCCGCAAGGUGCUGACGAGUGGCGAACGGGUGAGUAAUGCAUCGGAACGUGCCCAGUCGUGGGGGAUAACGCAGCGAAAGCUGCGCUAAUACCGCAUUCGAUCUAUGGAUGAAAGCGGGGGACCGUAAGGCCUCGCGCGAUUGGAUCGGCCGAUGUCAGAUUAGGUAGUUGGUGGGGUAAAGGCUCACCAAGCCAACGAUCUGUAGCUGGUCUGAGAGGACGACCAGCCACACUGGGACUGAGACACGGCCCAGACUCCUACGGGAGGCAGCAGUGGGGAAUUUUGGACAAUGGGCGCAAGCCUGAUCCAGCAAUGCCGCGUGCAGGAAGAAGGCCUUCGGGUUGUAAACUGCUUUUGUACGGAACGAAAAGGCUCUGGUUACUACCUGGGGCUCAUGACGGUACCGUAAGAAUAAGCACCGGCUAACUACGUGCCAGCAGCCGCAGUAACAC